AGGGCAUCUAGGUUGGUUCCACAGUUUAGCUAUUGUGAAUUGUGCUGUUAUAAACAUUGAUGUGGCUGUGUCCCUGUAGUAUGCUGUUUUUAAGUCCUUUGGGUAUAGACCAAGGAGAGGGACAGCUGGGUCAAAUGGUGGUUCCAUUCCCAAUUUUCCAAGAAAUCUCCAUACUGCUUUCCAUAUUGGCUGCACCAAUUUUCAGUCCCAUCAGCAGUGUAUGCGUGUGCCUUUUUCCCCAC
rnacentral:lncRNA from 1 species